rnacentral:lncRNA from 1 species
GCCAUGGAGAAAGCUUGUGGCAAAGGAAGAAAUUAAGUCCCAGACACAAUCACAAGGCUAUUUUCCUUGGACUGAGCUUUGAUUUCAGGUGGGCUGCAAGAACAAUCCUUCCACAGCAAAUUGGGAAGUUACAGCACUGGCUGGGGAAACCGGUGAUAGCAAGCAGCAGCACAAGCAGGAUUUUCAGAAGCCUUCAUCUCCUGGGAGCAGCUCUGGUGACUUCAAGCAAUCUCAUUAUCCUCCUUCAAAAUGCUGACGUAAACUCUUCUGACAAACUACCUACAAAAAAAUUGGACCAAAAUUUUAAAGUUAUGUUUCUAUGAUUAUUGUUUAUUAAUGUAAUCAAUAGGUUUUGACUGUUUCUUUGUGCCUCCUCCUAUCUUGUCUCAUACGUACUUUGUAUAUGGCCCAGGGCAAUGACUGGCCUCUUAAUUUGUAUUAUGCAGGAGUUAGUUCUGGCUCUUGAUAAAGUCCUGUGCUGAUGCUCAGCUGUGACAACAGAAAAAAUAAUGCUGUUAUAUAAUGCUGUUAUGUCAGUUACACUGUUCUGUCUUUUGUUCCAACUACUGCCAUUUCCUGUCCAACAGUGAGUACUGCUCAGGAGCUUCUGGUCUUUGAUUUCUAUACUGGACCUCGGGGACUCCCUCUGCUUUGCUGAUGUUCCUCAUAACGAUUUUUUCUCUGGAAGAACAGAACUAUCAAUGCAUUGGAUGAAGAGCUAGGAUAUUUUUAGUGAGAAGACCCUGGAGGUGAGUUCAGGUCAUCCAAAGAGCAAACUGAGUGUGUCUGACUGUGUUGGUAUGGAAUGAAAAUAGAAAGGGAACCAGUGGAGUUGUGGUCUAUGCCCAG